rnacentral:rRNA from 1 species
AGGCUUAACACAUGCAAGUCGAGCGCCCCGCAAGGGGAGCGGCAGACGGGUGAGUAACGCGUGGGAAUCUACCUUUUGCUACGGAAUAACGCAGGGAAACUUGUGCUAAUACCGUAUGUGUCCUUCGGGAGAAAGAUUUAUCGGCAAGAGAUGAGCCCGCGUUGGAUUAGCUAGUUGGUGGGGUAAAGGCCUACCAAGGCGACGAUCCAUAGCUGGUCUGAGAGGAUGAUCAGCCACAUUGGGACUGAGACACGGCCCAAACUCCUACGGGAGGCAGCAGUGGGGAAUAUUGGACAAUGGGCGCAAGCCUGAUCCAGCCAUGCCGCGUGAGUGAUGAAGGCCCUAGGGUUGUAAAGCUCUUUCACCGGAGAAGAUAAUGACGGUAUCCGGAGAAGAAGCCCCGGCUAACUUCGUGCCAGCAGCCCGCGGUAAUACGAAGGGGGCUAGCGUUGUUCGGAAUUACUGGGCGUAAAGCGCACGUAGCGGAUCGAUCAGUCAGGGGUGAAAU